GCGUCCGUGGCGGAACAGGCAGACGCGCCGGACUCAAAAUCCGGUUCCCCUCGCCGGGAGUGCGGGUUCGAUCCCCGCCGGACGCACC
rnacentral:tRNA from 1 species